rnacentral:tRNA from 1 species
GCCUGGCUGGCUCAGGGUGUAGAGCAUGGGACUCUUGAUCUCAGGAUCAUGAGUUCAAGCCUCAUACCGGGCA